AACGCUAGCGACAGGCUUAACACAUGCAAGGUCGAGGGGUAACAGGGUAGCAAUACCGCUGACGACCGGCGCACGGGUGAGUAACGCGUAUGCAACCUGCCUAUAACUGGGGAAUAGCUCCCUGAAAGGGGAAUUAACACCGCAUAACACUAUUGAUUCGCAUGGAUUGGUAGUUAAAUGUAGCGAUACAGGUUAUAGAUGGGCAUGCGUGACAUUAGCUAGUUGGUGAGGUAACGGCUCACCAAGGCUACGAUGUCUAGGGGUUCUGAGAGGAAGGUCCCCCACACUGGUACUGAGACACGGACCAGACUCCUACGGGAGGCAGCAGUGAGGAAUAUUGGUCAAUGGGCGCAAGCCUGAACCAGCCAUGUCGCGUGCAGGAAGACUGCCCUAUGGGUUGUAAACUGCUUUUAUAGUAGAAGAAACACAUCUACGCGUAGAUGUCUGCCAGUAUACUAUGAAUAAGCAUCGGCUAACUCCGUG
rnacentral:rRNA from 1 species